AUAGCAGAAAGGUAGCCUACUUUGCAACAACAGUUUGAGUUUCUCUGAGGUUUUUUUUGUUUGUACAAUUGAAUGCACCAUUAGGUCGACAACGUGUAUAUGAAAGGACAACGAAGCCCCGUCGGAGCCGGAGCUCACGUGCUUUACCUUCGUUUUUUGUGUACAUAGCUAACUCACUCACGUGGAAGGCAAUGAGACGUUGCCACACCGCGGUGACUUCAGGGAAGCAGGAGGAUUUCUCUCUCCGUCAUCUCCAACGCCGGCAGUAGCCAUGGUGAUUGGAAUAGUCAAGCUACAGGCUACCGAUAUAAAAAUGGCCAAAUGCUGCCCCUUUGAUAGGGAGGGACAUUCCAGGCAUCUCUCAGAUGUCUGUGCUGCUUUGCGGUAACCCAACUCCGGUUGAAAGCAUUUUCCUGGGAAAAAGAGGCGGCUCGCAAUCGACGGGGCACAGGGACACCUGCAGCUCUGGAGCAGCGGCGACUACAGAUCAGCCCUGGACGUGACUCAACACCGAACCGAACACACAAAUACACACACACACACACACACCCUGACACUUGCAUUCACACAGAAAAAAGUACUCCAGCACUCGCCUAUGCUUCCACACACGUAUGGUACAUUCCACUCUGCUACUUCCCCAACCUUUCCAACUGCCUCUCUGGUUCAUUCAGAUGAUGUCCAUGCUGAUGAGUUUAUUAAGGUGAAAAUGUGGACAGCUGCUCUCAUAAACCCUGUCAUCAAUUUGUCUCAGUCAUUAAAAUUGCCUGUAAUUGGC